GCGCCAGUGGUGCAAGACGUAGCAUCGCUGCCCGGAAAGCAGAAGGUGCGGGUUCGAGUCCCGCCUGGUGCA
rfam:Heligmosomoides polygyrus genome assembly, scaffold: HPBE_scaffold0003481